rnacentral:lncRNA from 1 species
CGGUGGGGGUCCACGGGGGGCUCGGGGGUAGAUGGGCCCUUGGCCUUGGGGCCUCUGGGUGUCAGCAGCCACUCGGGUGAGGUCUGGGGAAGGCGGCCGCCUGCCGGGCCCAGGAAGCAUGGGGCCCGCGGCGCGGCGCUGGCCUCGGGGGAGAGGCCGCGUGCCCGAGCGUGCUGGAGAUCCCGGGCGGCCUCCCGCCGGCCUUGGGGGGUUUGCCGUCGCGGCGCGGCGGCCGCAAAUUGGGGCCCGCCCCCCAGGCCAGGGUGCGGCCGGGGGCGUCCUGGCCCAGGCCGGGCGCCCUUCUCAGGAUGCUGUGGGGAGACGGGAUCCCGGCAGGGUAGUGUUCUCUUUCUGCUCUGGGGAACCCCUGAGGGCCACCUGCUGCAGGGGGUCUGUGGUAGCGGGGGCCCUUGGAUCAGGGCCGUCCCCCAUGGGAGGGGGGGAGCCUGGGAACCCCUGAGGGCGCUCCCCUGGGACGUCCAGGGAUGUGGGGGCGGAGGCUGGGGCUGGGUGGCGAGAAGGGGGCAGCUGAAGUGGUGAGCGACAGGCGGGCAGAGGGAGCCUGCCGGGGACGUGGGUGGACAGGCCCAGGUCUGGAUGGGCGAGGGGCUCUGGAGGAGGUGCCCUGGCCUCAAGUGGGAUGGCGUCAGCGGCUGUGGGAGGCCCGGGUCGGGAAGGACCGCGCGGGCAGGGGCGGGGACGGUCUUGCAUGUGGCCUCUCCUCUGGGAGGCGUGGCUCCCCGUGGGGGUCUGGGGAAGGCAGCCGCCAGGUCCCUGGGCCGCGGCGCUGACCGCACCUUGGGGGGGGUCCUUUGGGAGGCCACGGGUCGGAGUCCUUCCCGGUGCACGGUCUCCCUCUCCCUGGAGGGUCCGAUGCCGAGCCCUUGGACGCCCUGGAGGGGGUGGUCUGCCCGGCAGAGCGAGCCACCCGCGCCGCGUGGAGCGCUUCGCCCAGGUCGCCGCGCGGGGGCCUGGGCAGAGCGGGGAGGUCGGCGGCCAGGGACGUCUCUCAGCUGGCAGUGCCUGGGAGGCUGCUCGGGGCGGGUGUCCGGGUCCUGCGGCGGGCGGCUUGAUGGCGAGCGGAGACGGGAGGCCUGGGCUUGGGCAGCGGUGGCGGUGUCCUGGCCCCGACGGUGA